rnacentral:misc_RNA from 1 species
UAAAUUGCUACUUUUCUUGACAAAUUUUGAUGCUGAAAGACUUGGAAACCAUGCUGUCCACCACGUCCAGAAGCUGAGGAACAUUCUGCAUGUACAAUGUUCUGAAUGGCACAUCUUAAUGCAAGGAACUUCAGCUAUCCAAUCUAGGACUUGCAUCCAAUCGUGCAGGCUGCAUGGAAGUCUCAUUUACCUUUGCUGUGAACAUCAUGAACACAUACACUAUUCGAAGGUUUGUGUUUACAUAGCAGUGGUGUUGCUGUCCAAUGUGGCGUGCUGUUGCAGCCUAUGGUGGUGAAAGAUAUCUGCAUCAAGUUGCUGUUCCUUGUGCAUCCAAGGUGCUGGAUUUGUGCUACAAAAGUGACAUCCAGUAUUGUGUUAAAUUGCUAUUUGUAUCUAUGCAGUUAACCUUUUAUAUGUUGAGAAGGAACAAAAAAAAGUAAUAUGGGAGGAUUAUGUCAAACAAAUAAUAAACAUGUCUGCUAUGGGGGAAUGAAGAGGAAGUUGGGGUGGGAUAUAAGAAGUGAAGUAUAUUUUUAAUUAAUACGCAGUACUUAAUACGCGCUGAUGAAAUCUGUUACUAACCCAUAUAACCUUCCCCACUUACACAUCCAUUCCUCAAACCUUAUAAGCCCCUUCCCACAUCCACUCACAUCCAUUCCUCAAACCCCACAAUCUCCAACAUCAAAUUCACAAAAUGAUUAUAUAUAUAGAAACAUUUAUAUUUAACUAAAUAAAAUGUCAUUA